rnacentral:rRNA from 1 species
CAGUAGCCGCGGGAAUACGUAGGGUGCGAGCGUUAAUCGGAAUUACUGGGCGUAAAGCGUGCGCAGGCGGUUGUGUAAGACAGGUGUGAAAUCCCCGGGCUUAACCUGGGAACUGCGCUUGUGACUGCACAGCUAGAGUAUGGCAGAGGGGGGUGGAAUUCCACGUGUAGCAGUGAAAUGCGUAGAGAUGUGGAGGAACACCGAUGGCGAAGGCAGCCCCCUGGGCCAAUACUGACGCUCAUGCACGAAAGCGUGGGGAGCAAACAGGAUUAGAUACCCCUGUAGUCCCUGUCUCUUAUAC